UACGUAGGAGGCAAGCGUUGUCCGGAAUUACUGGGCGUAAAGCGCGUGUAGGUGGUGGGACAAGUCUGCUGUGAAAGCGCCUGGCUUAACCGGGCGAGGUCGGCGGAAACUGUUCGACUCGAGGACGGUAGAGGGGGGUGGAAUUCCCGGUGUAGUGGUGAAAUUCGUAGAUAUCGGGAGGAACACCGGUGGCGAAGGCGGCGACCUGGGUAGAUACUGACGCUGAGGUGCGAAAGCGUGGGGAGCAAACAGG
rnacentral:rRNA from 1 species